rnacentral:sRNA from 1 species
GAGCAUCCGAGAUUUCGGCAGUGCUGCGGUCAGCCUGCAGGUGGCCGCUCCCUACUCGAAGCCCAGCAUGACCCUGGAGCCCAACAAGGACCUGCGGCCCGGGGACACGGUGACCAUCACGUGCUCCAGCUACCGGGGCUACCCUGAGGCUGAGGUGUUCUGGCAGGAUGGGCAGGGUGCGCCCCUGACUGGCAACGUGACCACAUCGCAGAUGGCCAAUGAGCAGGGCUUGUUUGAUGUGCACAGCGUCCUGCGGGUGGUGCUGGGUGCGAAUGGCACCUACAGCUGCCUGGUGCGCAACCCCGUGCUGCAGCAGGAUGCGCACGGCUCUGUCACCAUCACAGGGCAGCCUAUGACAUUCCCCCCAGAGGCCCUGUGGGUGACCGUGGGGCUCUCUGUCUGUCUCGUUGCACUGCUGGUGGCCCUGGCUUUCGUGUGCUGGAGAAAGAUCAAACAGAGCUGUGAGGAGGAGAAUGCAGGUGAGUGUGUAUGUGUGUGCACACACGUGCACACUUAUGUGUCUUGGGGGUAUGUUGCUGUGUCUUUGAUGUCAAUAGUGUCACUUUCUAGUGACAGAAUCAGUGUGUGUGUGCAGAUGGGGCUGGAUUUGUCUGUGUGUGACCUUGAGUCUAUGUCUUGUGUGUGUGAACAAGCGUGAGCCUGUCUGUCCAUGUGCAGAUACCACAGGAUGA